rnacentral:rRNA from 1 species
GCGGGACUAGCUCAGGAUGUGAAUCUGCGCUUUUAUGGCGCCGAAUUGUGGUCUAUAGACUUUAACAUUAUCUGCCGGGCCAAGUUCCUUGGAAAAGGACAGCUGAGAGGGUGAGACUCCCGUCCGCCUGGUAGARUGAGUUUUUGUCAACGAGUCGAGUUGUUUGGGAUUGCAGCUCUAAUUUGGUGGUAAAUUCCAUCUAAAGCUAAAUAUUGGUGGGAGACCGAUAGCGUACAAGUACCGUGAGGGAAAGAUGCAAAGAACUUUGAAAAGAGAGUUAAAGAGUACCUGAAAUUGCUGAAACGGAAGCGAAGGAAACCAGUGUUUGUUGGUUCAUAUUUCCCUGGCCACUUGUGGUUUGGGCGCUGUGAGCUUGCGUGGGUUUGCUUUGGUUGAUCCCUUUGGAAGAGCGCAGUCAGAGUUGAUGUCUGUUGCUAGCACUGGGUUUGACUAAUGCAGACGAAAUGGUUUUCUUUACCCCGUCUUGAAACACGGACCAAGGAGUCUAACAUAUGUGCGAGUACAGGGGUGUCAAACCCCGGUGCGUAAUGAAAGUGACAGUGGUUGGAUAUUUUGCACAAUCCGCCGGCCUCAAUCCUUCGGGAGAACGGUCUGAGUGUGAGCAUACAUGUUGGGACCCGAAAGAUGGUGAACUAUGCCU